rnacentral:rRNA from 1 species
UGGCGGACGGGUGAGUAAUGUCUGGGAAACUGCUUGAUGGAGGGGGAUAACUACUGGAAACGGUAGCUAAUACCGCAUAACGUCGCAAGACCAAAGAGGGGGACCUUCGGGCCUCUUGCCAUCGGAUGUGCCCAGAUGGGAUUAGCUAGUAGGUGGGGUAACGGCUCACCUAGGCGACGAUCCCUAGCUGGUCUGAGAGGAUGACCAGCCACACUGGAACUGAGACACGGUCCAG